rnacentral:lncRNA from 1 species
UUGUGUUAAAGUGGAUGUCAAUUCUCUUUGGAUUUGCACCACCUAUGGGCUUGUUUUAAUUUGAAGAAAUUAAGGUUUAAUAAGGUGGAAACUCUAGGCUUAAGGCUGCCUCUUGGCUGACCAGGAGUUAAGCAUUUUUCCACAUGUUUUUGUGUCUUAAUUCUAGUUUUAAUUAGGUAUAAUGACAUCAUCAAUUGUUGUUAUUGGUGAUCAUUUUUCUUAAUUCUAGUUUUAAUUAGGUAUAAUGACACCAUUAAUUGUUGUUAUUGGUGAUCAUUUCAUCUUCUCACUUGUGUAACCAACUUGAUGUCAUUCCUAUUUAUGGGCUGCGCAUUUUCUAAUAAAAAAGAGACCUGGAAUUGAGUUUUAAUUUCCUUCUAAAGUGUGAGAGUGAAUCUCCUUAGUUACUUGAGUGAUUCAAAAAAUUGGUUUAUCAAGGAACAUCACCUUGUGUGUGACACCAAUUUCAGAGGAGUGAUUCUUCCAACUACCUUCUUCAUUCUCCUUUUUCAUUAUUCUAAACCAGCCUUUAAUCCCACUCUAACACCUUCGUUAUCAUCAUCAUUCUCCAUCCAAACACAUUCAGACUUUGAAUCAAAUCCCUUCCAUUCAGCCCUCCAUAAACUCGCCACUUUCUUUUUCCUUAUCCAUUCCAUUUUCUGAAUUUCAUACUAGUAAAAAAAACCCUUUGAAGAUCCAUCCUCAACCCUUGUGCAAAUGGGUUUACAUCAUUUUGGUUAUCAGAGCUCCGGUUCAAGGGUUUAUCAUGACUGCUUGAGCUAAAAUUUCUUGGUAACAUCCUUCUAAUUUCUUCUUUGUCAUUUUAUAUUACCUUGUUCAUGCUAUUUUUUUUAUUGAGGCUAAACCAUUGCAAAAAUUAGGCCUUUAAUUUCUUGUUACAAAAAAGGCAGAAACUUAUUUUAAAAAAUUAUUUGGGCUGAAUGGUUCAUGCUAUAAUAGCUUUAAAAUUUUUUUGAAGGUAAUUUAAUUGGUUAUUAGAAGGUUUGAAUUACCAAAUUCUGAAGUUUAAUUCCUUCAAAAAAAUCCCAUUGUGUAGUUGUUGGAAUUUUUUGUCCUUGUUCUAAGCCUUUGUUAGCCUAACCCUAAGCCUUUUCCUUGUCACAAAUUGGUGGUUGAACUUUGUGUAAACUUUCUCUUGAACUGCUUUAGAACUCAAGGAGAAUUCUAGAGUGGAAAAAGGCAAGAGUGUACAAAAUAAAAAAAAAAGUCAUAUUUGAGAGAUACACUUGAGUAUGGUGAGGUUCUAUUUUCUUUAUAACUAUUAUUAUUUUGAAUGUGUUUGGUGGUGGGGAAUAUCAAUUGGAUGGGGCACAAAGAUUCUUGUUGGAUGCUCUCAAUGCUCAAAUGUGUGGAAGCAAUGCCUUCCAAGGCUAUUUUGAUGAUGCCAAAGAAUCAAGAGUCAAGCAAAUUCCAAAGAUUCAAGAAUGAAGUUUUCAAGAAUCAAGUUUCAAGAAUCAAGAUUCAAGAAUAAUCAAGAUCAAGAUUCAAGAAUCAAGAGAAGAAUCAAUCAAGAUAAGUAUUAAAAAAGUUUUUCAAAACAUUGAGUAGCACAUGAAGUUUUCACAAAAUCUUUUACCAAAGAGUUUUACUCUCUAGUAAUCAAUUACCAGAAGGUAGUAAUCGAUUACCAGUAGCCAGCAUUGUUUUACAAAGUUGUAAUCGAUUACCGUAAACAUGUAAUCGAUUACUAGUGUUUUAAAACGUUAAGAUUUUCAAAAUUCAAAAUGAAGAGUCACAUCUGUUGAUGUGUAAUCGAUUACACCUUAAUGGUAAUCGAUUACCAGUGACUAUUUUUGAAAAAUUCAUUUCCAAAAGUCACAAUUCUUCAAGUGACUUGUUUAUGAAGAUUCUUUCAAAAGUCACAACUUUUCUAAGUGACUAGUUUUAAAAGAAAUUGCCAAGAGUCACAAACUUUGACUUGAGUCAUCAAAAGAUUAUAAAUAUGUGACCAUGGCAUGAAUUUGAAUAAUGAUCCAUCAUUUUAUUUCAAUCAUUCUAUCUUUCAACAUCUUCUUUCAUUUCUUUCAAUAGAACUUUCUGGUUUCAUUUCUCUUCAUCUUCCUAAAAGUUUUUGUUCAAAACUUUUUCUUUCAAGAAAAGUUCUUUGAUCAAAAACUUGUGAUAUUCAUCUUUUUCAUUCUUUUCUCCCUUUGUCAAAAAGAAUUCGACAAGGACUAAUCCCCUGAAUUCUUUUUGUGUCUCUCUUCUCCCUUUUCCAAAAGAACAAAGGACUAACCGCCUGAAUUCUUUUGUGUCUCUCUUCUCCCUUUUCCAAAAGAACGAAGGACUAACCGCCUGAAUUCUUUUGUGUCUCUCUUCUUCCUUUGCCAAAAAGAAUUCGCCAAGGACUAACCGCUUGAAUUCUUUUUGUGUCUCUCUUCUCCCUUUUCCAAAAGAACAAAGGACUAACCGCCUGAAUUCUGUUGUGUCUCCCUUCUCCCUUUUCAAAGAAUUCAAAACAACACAGUCUGAGAAUUCUUUUGAUUCUUCCCUUUCCCUUAAACAAAAGAUUUCAAAGGACUAACCACCUGAGAUAUCUUUUGUUUCCCCUUCACAAAGUUUCAAAGGAAUAACCGCCUGAGAACUUUGUCUUAACACAUUGGAGGGUACAUCCUUUGUGGUACAAGUAAAGGGUACAUCUACUUGGGUUGUUGUAACUGAGAACAAGAGAUGGUACAUCUCUUGUGGAUCAGUUCAAGUGGAGGGUACAUCCACUUGGUUGUUCAAAGAGAACAAGGGAGGGUACAUCCCUUGUGGAUCUUUGCUUGUAAAGGAUUUUACAAGGUUGAAAAGAAAUCUCAAGGACCGCAGGUCGCUUGGGUACUGGAUGUAGGCACGGGUUGUUGCCGAACCAGUAUAAAACUCUUGUGUUUGUCUUCUUGUUGAGGUGUUUGGCAAGUGUACCAAAUCGCUCUAAGUAGUAAUCCCCGGAAGUCCGAGUAUCGUUUCCACAGGGAUUUUAUUGCACUUUAUUGAAUACUUUUCAAUUUGCAAGUAAGGAAUAAAUAGUAAAAACAAGAAUAAAUGUGAGAGUAAAUUGCUAUUACUAGAUCAAAUAGUUUUAGAAAGACAAUUGAUGAAAAUGCCAAGACCGGACAAACCCAAUUGGCCUACGAUGCAUGUAAAUAUGAUAUUCAUUACCAAUGCAAUUGUAUUAGUUCUACCCACAUCUAUUAAUUUUACUUGCCCCUGAUGCCUCAUGAUGACAAGCCUAUUUUAACUACCUAUCUCCCAAAUGCUUUUGCGAAGAUUCAAUAAUUAAAAUGCAUUAAGGUUAAAUUCUAGAUGUUGCUAAAUGUGUGGGCAUUGAGUUAUCAUUCUAUGCCUAGCAAUGCUAACCCGAUGAUCCUUUUCUUAAGAUGUUCUAUUAGGUGUUACCCUUUCCCAAGCGUAUAACCCCUAAAACUGAUGCAUGCAUUAAUUCUUAAAUCCUUACUAGGAAAUACCCUCUCUCGAGCGAAUAAAACCCAAAAGCAAUUUAAGACAUAAAUGCAAGAUAAAAAGAAAAGAAUUAGAAUCCUCUUUUGCAUUGAUAACUCUUGAAGUACACCAUACAUCGUUGGCUUUUUAGGCCUGUUAGGCCCUAGCUAGGGAAUUAGCCACUUAUGGCCAUUGAGGGCUUUACAAUUGGGGGUGAAAGAAAGAAUGGGGGUAAUAAAAACAAGAAUAUAGAGAGAAAAGGGAGAGCUCAGGCUUGGAAUGAUAAGAGAAUUGCUCUGAGGAAAGGUGUGUUGUUUCCCUUGGACUAGCUCCCUAUUUAUAGCUGCUGAAGUGGGCUUUGGGCCUUCAUAAGCACGCUUAGCGCGACACCUCACGCUUAUCGCGUUCAGAUCGUGCGCUUAGCGCGCGCUGCAGGCUUAGCAUGUGUUUCUGUUGGAUCACGCGCUUAGCGUGUGGCUCGCGCUUAGCGCGCGUAACAGAUUCUGCAUCUUCGAGCUUAACGCCUCGCUUAGCGCCUAUGCUGCUUUACUCGCUUAGCGCGUGGCGCGCGCUUAGUGCGCGUGUUGGGCUGGGCCUACUUCAAACCUCUUCUUUUUCUUCACUUCCUGUUGCCUUUUUGCUUAAUGUAACUUCAAUUUUCGUAUCUACAACCAAAAAUUCAAUUUAAUUAAUUUUCUAACUUUUAAUCACAAAUAACUGCUAAAUAAUUAAUUUCAGGCCAAAAUUUGACUAAUUCUUUACUAUUAAUUCACAAUUAUUUAGCAGUUAUCACUUCUUCUUCCCUACACUCUUUAAUUUCCGCUGUGCACUUUAAUUACCGCUUUUACUUUUGGUUAAGUUUAUAUUUUUGUUCUUUACUUUCUUAACAACAUAGUAAAAGCCUAAGAAGGGUAAAUUUUAAUUAGUAAAGGUUUAGUAAUAAUUAAUUCAACCCCCCCUUCUUAAUUAUUUCGAGGCCACUUGAUCCAACAAAAUGCAAAGACUAUUGAGAGAGAACAACAAGGAGUUGUAUGAAAGAAUUGAGCGAUUAGAGAAUCGUGAAUGUCAUAAAGAAGAAAGGAGAGAAGGAAAUGGUGGUGGUCCAAGGCUAAACCGAAGUGAAGGAGUCAAGCUCAACAUUCCUCCCUUUAAAGGAAAAAGUGAUCCAGAGGCAUAUUUGGAGCGGGAGCUCAAGAUAGCUCAUAUCUUCUCAUGUAACACCUAUAAGGAGGCCCAAAAAUUGAAGCUAGUAGUUGCGUAAUUCUCAGAUUAUGCUCUUGUGUGAUGGAACAAAUUGCAAAGGGAGAGAGCUAGAAAUGAGGAGCCUUUGGUGGAAACUUGGGUUGAGAUGAAAAAGAUCAUGAGGAAGCGGUAUGUGCCGACAAGCUAUACUAGGGACUUAAAAUUCAAACUUCAAAAGUUGUACCAAGGUAGCAAAGGCAUUGAGGAAUACUAUAAAGAAAUGGAGGUGCUCAAGAUUCAAGCCAAGAUAGAAGAGGAUGAAGAGGUAACUAUGGCUAGAUUUCUUAAUGGUUUAAAUAGUGAUAUCUGUGAUGUUGUUAAGUUGUAGGAAUUUGUUGAAAUGGAGGAUUUGCUUCACCAAACAAUCUGAGUGGAGCAACAAUUGAAGAGGAAAGGUGUGGCCAAAAGCAGUUCCACUAAUUAUGGUUCUUCUAGUUGUUAGGACAAGAGUAAAAGGGCUACCACCUCCAAUGCAGUACCUAUACCAUCAAAAACUCCUCCAAAAUUCCAAGAACAAUCCUAAAAAAAGAGCUGGGAUGUGAAGUGUUUUCGGUGCCAAGGCUUAGGACAAUAUGCAUAUGAGUGCCCUAACAAGAAAGUCAUGAUUCUUAGAGAUGGAGAGUACAUUAGUGAGUCCAAAGUUGAAAAGGGAGAAAAGAGUAAAGAUGAUGAGGAGGAAGUGGAGAAAACACCGGAGGAAGAAUUAUUGAUGAUUAGGCGGUUACUUGGCCAUCAAUUGAAGUCUAUGGAGGAAAUUCAAAGAGAAAACAUUUUCCACACUAGAUGUUUGAUCAAUGGCAAAGUUUGCAUGGUGAUCAUUGAUGGAAGGAGUUGUACCAAUGUGGCAAGUGCAAGACUUGUGUCUAAAUUGAAUUUAGUCUCAAAACCAUAUCCUAGGCCAUAUAAGCUUCAAUGGCUUAGUGAGGAUAGAGAGGUGCAAGUAAGGAAGCAAGUGGAGUUGGAUAUUUCCAUUGGAAAGUAUAAUGAUAAGGUGCUUUGUGAUGUUGUUCCUAUGGAGGCCAGCCACAUACUCUUGGGGAGACCAUGAAAAUUUUGAUAAGAGGGAUAAUCAUGAUGGUUUCACCAACAAGAUCUCUUUCACGUAUCAAUGCAAAAAGAUAGUGCUCAAACCAUUGAGUCCACAAAAAGUGUGUGAGGAUCAAAGGAAAAUGAGAGAGAAAAUUCUUCAGGAAAAGAGAGAAAAAGAAAAAGAGACACAAACACUUGAGAGUUCAAAAUGUGAGGACAAAAAGAGGGAAACACAAUAGAGGAAAAAGAUGAGUGAAACACUUGAAGUGAGGGAGAAUUUUAUAGCUACAAAAGGAGAGGUCAAAGGGUUGUUUCAUUGAAAACAACCCCUAUACUUGUUGAUUUGCUAAAAUUAUGUUUUGACCACUAACACUUUUGACAACUUUGAAUUGCCUUCUAGUGUGAAAACUCUUUUGCAGGAAUUUGAGGAUGUGUUUCCAUCAAGUGUUCCGAAUAGGUUGCCACCAUUGAGGGUAAUUGAGCAUCAAAUUGAUCUCAUUGUUCGCCUAUCGGCAAGGGUACCAAUUUGCACAAGUAGUAUUUAAACGGUAAGACCGAGUAUCGUAUCCACAGGGAAUUUGUUUCACUUAGAAUAUGUAUAUUCAGUAUGCAAACACUUUUUAGCUUUUGAAAUAAAAUAAAGAUUCAAUGGUGGUUUAAUUUUUUGCAAUCAACUAUUCGAUUUAUCAACUUUAGGAAAUAAACUCAAAACUGUAAAAAUGCGAUAAAUAUCAAGAUAAAAGCGUUGGGGAGCCUUCUACUGAACUUUCUUUUGUCGUAUAAAAAGGUUUUCUCUAUUUAAUGUUAUUCUAGCGCUCUUGCACCGAGUAUAUACUCAGACCAUGAUUCCUCACAAGAAUGAGCCUAACUCUCUUAGCUUUUGUUCUUGAUUCCUCAACAAACUCGUUCUAAAAGAGUUGCAAUAUGCACAUUGUACAAAACAUACUAGAUUACUGCAUUAUAUUCCUAGAUACACAGGCCCUUAGCUUGCUCUAUCAAGUUCUAAGGAUUUAAAUCAUUUUCCAACACUCAAAAGCCUAACUAAACAUACAAAUGGGUGAUCAAGCCAUUAGUAUGUAAAAUAAGUGCAGAUAGAAGCAAAGAACACCAAAAAAUAACAUUAAAUAGAUAGUUAGAGGUUUACAUUAAGAGUGUUCUGUAGAAUACUCCCCAACAAUGAAGUUCCUAGCCUUCCAUUACAAGAAAAGCUUCAUACAACUAUAAAAAUGAAUGUUUUGUGUAAGAAAAUGGAAAAGGGUGAGGAAGAAUGUCUUCUCUCCAACCUCUAUGCCUUCUUCUCUCUGUUUUCACAUAGCUUCAGCUGUGUCUAGCUUGGUGACCUUUGGUUUACCACCAACUAAGUGUUUUAAAGGCUCUUGGAAUUCUCAACACAUGAAGGCUCACUCAGCGAGCAUGUCUCGCUGAGCGGGAGAAAGUGAAAACCCGCUAAGCGAGCUUGGGUGCGCUAAGCACGGGAAGAGACAACGUCCUCGCUGGGCGAGCUGGCUGCGCACUAAGUGUGCUGAUCUCUGACUUAUCCUCUUCUAUGGUUUUGCAUCCGCUAAGCGAGCUAACUGCCUCGCUAAGCGAGCUAACUGCCUCGCUAAGCGAAUGAGGUUCGCUUAGCCAAUCCGCCUCACUAAGCGAGUUCAUCAGCUUCUUUUUACACCUUCUCUUCUUAAGCCUUCAAACUGGGUUGAAUUCAACAUUAGAUCACAAAAAUGGAGUUUCUACUCUAUAAAUUCACACAAGAAUGAAAAUAUUUACAAUUUGCACAAAAAGAACCAUAAAUUGGAGGCAUAUUGCUAUUUUCUUACAAAUUUUCAAUGCACUAAGAACUCAUGAAUAACAAUUAACACUCAUGCCGGGAGCUUCUUUGCCUAAUAGGCCAGCUUAUAGGAGCAACUCACAAGAGACCAAGGAGAUCCAAAGACAAGUGGAAGAACUCAUUGGUAAGGGAUGGGUAAGAGAUAGCAUGAGUCCAUGUGCUGUCCCGAUAAUUUUGGUUCCAAAAAAAGAUGGUGCUUGGAGGAUGUGCUCCGAUUCUAGAACUUUAAACAAUAUUACCAUUAAAUAUAGGUAUCCAAUACAUAGAAUUAAUUAUUUGCUUGAUGAAUUGCAUGGUGCUUGUUUCUUUUCCAAAAUUUAUUUGAAAAGUGGUUACAAUCAAAUAAGGAUUAAAGAAGGAGAUGAAUGGAAAACUACUUUCAAAACUAAAUAUGGAUUAUAUGAAUGGUUGGUUAUGCAUUUCGGUUUGACUAAUGCACCAAGCACUUUUAUGAGAUUAAUGAACCGUGUUUUGAGAGAAUUCAUUGGUAAAUUUGUGGUGGUGUACUUUGAUGAUAUCCUUGUUUAUAGCACAACCCUUGAUUUGCAUGUUGCACACUUAAAAUCGGUGUUGUGUGUGCUUAGGAAGGAACAAUUGUAUGCCAACCUUGAAAAAUGCAUUUUUUGCAAAGACCAUGUUGUGUUUCUUGAUUUUGUAGUGAGUUCCAAAAGGGUUCAAGUUGAUGAAGAAAAGGUCAAAGCUAUCCAAGAGUUGCCUGAACCUAAAAGUUUGAUUUAUUGUUCUCAAUCCAAGGUCAAAGCUAUCCAUGUGCCAAGCGAUUUAUUGUUCUCUAUUCCAUUUUGAAGAGACACCAAUAAAAAAAAAGUGAUGGUUUUUUUCUCUUCAUGCAACUCACUCAAAUUUAUUUUUUCUCUUCAUUUUCUCUUCGUGUUAUUGAUAAGGAGUUGUAUGCCUUAGUGAGAGCGUUGAAAAUAUGGCUACACUAUCUUUAUCCCAAGGAGUUUGGGAUCCAUAGUGACCAUGAGUCCCUAAAAUACUUAAAGGGACAAGGCAAACUAAACAAAAGGCAUGCCAAAUGGGUAGAAUUUCUUGAGUAAUUCCCUUAUGUUAUUAUAAAAAGGGAAAAGGAAAUAUUGUUGCGGAUGCCUUGUCAAGGAGGCACUUUUUGCUUUCUAUGCUUGAAACAAAAAUGAUUGGAUUUGAUUGCUUGAAAGAAAUGUAUGAAGGAGAUGACACCUUUGGUGAAAUCUUCAAAAAUUGUGAAAAGUUUUCUAAAGAUGGUUUUUAUAGAUAUGAGGGCUACCUUUUCAAAGAAAAUAAAUUAUGUGUGCCCAAGUGUUCUACUAGAAACUUGCUUGUGUGUGAAGCCCAUGAAGGUGGAUUGAUGGGGCAUUUUGGGGUCCAAAAGACCUUAGAUUCAUUGAAAGAGCAUUUUUAUUGGCCUAACAUGAAGAAAGAUGUGCAGAAAUUUUGUGAGUGUUGUAUUGUUUGCAGAAAGGUCAAGUCAAAGGUAAUACCUCAUGGUUUGUAUACACCUUUGCCAAUUCCAGAUUCUCCAUGGAUUGAUUUAUCAAUGGACUUUGUUUUAUGGUUUCCUAGAACAAGUAGUGGUAAGGAUUCCACAUUUUUUGUUGUUGAUAGGUUUUCUAAAAUGGCUCAUUUUAUUCCUUGUAGGAAAUUUGAUGAUGCUAAUCAUGUGGCGGAUUUGUUCUUCAAAGAAGUGGUGAAACUCCAUGGAUUACCAAGAAGAAUUGUUAGUGAUAGGGACUCCAAGUUCCUAAGCCAUUUUUGGAGGACCUUAUGGGGAAAUUUGGGUACUAAGUUACUAUUUUCUACUACUUGUCAUGCUCAAACGGAUGGACAAAUGGAGGUCGUGAAUAGGACUUUGGGUACCUUGCUAAGGACCGUUUUGAAAAAGAAUCUUAAAAAUUGGGAAGUUUGCUUACCUCACAUUGAAUUUUCUUAUAAUAGGGUUAUGCAUAACACCACUAGUUGUUCUCUUUUUGAGGCUGUGUAUGGUUUCAAUCCACUAACUCCUCUUGAUUUGUUGCCAAUGCCAAGUAUUUCAGUUUUUAGGCAUAAGGAAGGACAAGCCAAAGAAGACUAUGUGAAAAAGCUCCAUGAAAGAGUCAAGGCCUAAAUUGAAAAGAGGAAUAAGAGCUAUGCUAUACAAGCAAACAAGAGGCACAAAAAGGUUGUUUUCCAACUCGGAGAUUGGGUUUGGGUUCACAUGAGAAAGGAAAGGUUUCCAAAGCAAAGGAAAUCCAAGCUUCAACCAAGAGGGUAUGGUCCAUUUCAAGUAUUUGAAAGGAUAAAUGAGAAUGCAUACAAGAUUGAAUUGCCCGGUGAGUAUAACGUGCGUACUACAUUUAAUGUGUCUGACUUAACUCUUUUUGAUACAGAUGGAGAAGCCAAUUUAAGGAUAAAUCCUUUUGAAGAGGGAGAGAGUGAUGAGAACAUGGAAAGGACUAAGGGCAAGGAACCUUUAGAAGGACUAGGAGGACCUAUGGCAAGGGCUAGAACAAAGAAGGCCAAGGAAGCUCUUCAACAAGUGUUAACCAUGCUAUUUGAAUUUAGGCCUAAGUUACAAGUGGAGAAGCUUCGGAUUGUCAAUUGCACCUUGUUCCAAGAAGAGUAAAGGGUGCCACUUUGUUGAGUGGUUUUAUUAGCAUUUUGUUAGUUGAAAUAAAGGCCCAAACUUGUGUUAAAGUGGCUGUCAAUUCUCUUUGGAUUUGCACCACCUUUGGGAUUGUUUUAAUUUGAAGAAAUUAAGGUUUAAUAAGGUGGAAACUCUAGGCUUGUGGCUGCCUCUUAGCUUACCAGGAGUUAAGCAUUUUCCCACAUGUUUUUGUGUCUUAAUUCUAGUUUUAAUUAGGUAUAAUGACAUCAUCAAUUGUUGUUAUUGGUGAUCAUUUGUCUUAAUUCUAGUUUUAAUUAGGUAUAAUGACACCAUUAAUUGUUGUUAUUGGUGAUCAUUUCAUCUUCUCACUUGUGUAACCAACUUGAUGUCAUUCCUAUUUAUGGGCUGCACAUUUUCUAAUAAAAAGAAACCUUGAA